rnacentral:rRNA from 1 species
UUGAUCCUGGCUCAGGACGAACGCUGGCGGCGUGCCUAAUACAUGCAAGUCGAGCGAACAGAAGGGAGCUUGCUCCCGGAUGUUAGCGGCGGACGGGUGAGUAACACGUGGGUAACCUGCCUGUAAGACUGGGAUAACUCCGGGAAACCGGAGCUAAUACCGGAUAGUUCCUUGAACCGCAUGGUUCAAGGAUGAAAGACGGUUUCGGCUGUCACUUACAGAUGGACCCGCGGCGCAUUAGCUAGUUGGUGGGGUAAUGGCUCACCAAGGCGACGAUGCGUAGCCGACCUGAGAGGGUGAUCGGCCACACUGGGACUGAGACACGGCCCAGACUCCUACGGGAGGCAGCAGUAGGGAAUCUUCCGCAAUGGACGAAAGUCUGACGGAGCAACGCCGCGUGAGUGAUGAAGGUUUUCGGAUCGUAAAGCUCUGUUGUUAGGGAAGAACAAGUGCGAGAGUAACUGCUCGCACCUUGACGGUACCUAACCAGAAAGCCACGGCUAACUA